GUCCGUGGAGUGAAAUGCAUGCUGGGAAGCCAUCUACCAUGGGUCCGUGGAGUGAAAUGCAUGCUGGGAAGCCAUCUACCAUGGGUCCUAGCUUGCUGCAUUAUGUUUUAAUUUGCCGGUUUACUUUUCAACUUGAUAAUGAUUUUCAUUUGUCGUACCGGUAUUCAGAGCACCAGUGAAGUGCAUUAGGUUCAGUCAUCCAUAGGGGGCCUUGGUAGGCUAUUCUCCAGCCCAGGGAGGAGGGGCGUAGAUGGGGUAACAAAAGGAGGCCCUCUGCCUGCCUGCUGGGUGGAGGAGAUCACCAGCCAGGCUGACAAAAUGGAGGGGCCCUACUGGGCACUGUGGGGGAACCACUUCUAUAGGCAGGUUAAGAGUUAUACACACACACACACACACACACACACAGGUUCAGCCAAUAGGCAUGGUAGGGUAGCUGACAGGAUCAAUAGAUGUCAGAUGGAGACUUCAGAGCUGUUAGAAUCACAGGCUUGUUAUUCCCUGGAUAGACAGAGACUGGUUAGAAUCACAGGCUUGUUAUUCCCUGGACAGACAGAGACUGGUUAGAAUCACAGGCUUGUUAUUCCCUGGACAGACAGAGACUGGUUAGAAUCACAGGCUUGUUAUUCCCUGGACAGACAGAGACUGGUUAGAAUCACAGGCUUGUUGUUUCCCUGGACAGACAGAGACUGGUUAGAAUCACAGGCUUGUUGUUUCCCUGGACAGACAGAGACUGGUUAGAAUCACAGGCUUGUUGUUUCUCUGGACAGACAGAGUUUUGAUCACUACGAGAGGAUGUCAGACCCCGGUGAUUAUUGCCGAUGAGCUUCUGAUUCCAACACGGUGUCACGAAUCCCGCCGAAGAUGGUUCCUCUUCCUGUUCGGGUGGCGCUCGGCGUUCGUCGUCGCCGGCCUACUAGCUGCCACCGAUCCCCUUUUCUGUCUCAGUUAGUUUUGUCUGAUUAGUUUCACCUGUUUGUUGUUUGGGUUUUGUUUUGGGGCUAUUUAAACCCUGCUUUUGUGCGGGCUUGUUUUUCUGUUCCAUGGUGUGUGGAUUUAUGUGGAUUCCUUUUUCCGGAAGGUUCCGUCCUGCUUGUUGUUUGUUAUUUAUGCGCCCUUGUGUUUGGCGUGACUCUGUUCCUGGAAUAAAGACCCACGUUUGAACUCUGCUCUCUGCGCCCGACUCCUCCACCCACAACUCCUAGAAGCCGUGACACACGGCCUCAGUACGUCAGGACAAGGACAAGACGCGUUCAACCACAUGUCUGUUAUGUCACAGCUUUCUUCAAGAAGAAUUGAAAUGGGAGAUAAUUUACAGCUAAAUCUGGUACAAUAUUUAGGAUAUACAGCUUUUUUAAAAAUGUUAAACCAUAUAAUUCCAUGUAAAAUAUUAGAAUGAAUAAUAGUGAACUAAAGCAUCUCUAUGCUUUAUUACACACUCGCUGUUUGGCUCAUAGAAAACAUCCUCAUACACAGCCCUUUAGUUGUGUUCUUGAUUAUAUCCACAGGUCUUAAUUAUAAUUCCUGUAGCAGCCAUCUCUAAUAGCUGGUCUGCUCUCAUCGUGACAUAGCUGCUACAUCCAAAAUGGCCACCCUAUUCACUAUACAGCGCACUACUUUGGAUCCAGGGCGCAUAGGGCUCUGGUUAACAUCAGGUGCACUAUGUAGCGAAUAGCAGGGUUCGGUUUGGGACGCGUGUCAUAUUUAAAUGUCAAUCAGGCGCUAUGCAGAUCACUGAAGCAGUAAUUACACCCAAUUAGUUAGCAGCGUUAUACAGUAAUUACUAGAGUGACAAAUUAAUUUCAUGACUCAACACAAAUCACCAUUAUCAAAAGAAAUGAGAACUACAAUGCUAACUGUGGAAUUAGAUAUAUAUUUCUCUACUAGGAAAAUAAAUGCUAACUGAUGAAUUAGGGAGCUAACUAGUGACCGGGAAGGGGUACUAACUAGUGACAGGGAAGGGCACUAACUAGUGAGAGGGAAGGAAGCUAACUAGUGAGAGGGAAGGGUGCUAACUAGUGACCGGGAAGGGGUACUAACUAGUGACAGGGAAGGGCACUAACUAGUGAGAGGGAAGGGGUACUAACUAGUGACAGGGAAGGGCACUAACUAGUGAGAGGGAAGGAAGCUAACUAGUGAGAGGGAAGGGUACUGACUAGUGACAGGGAAGGGUACUAACUAGUGGCAGGGAAGGGGUACUAACUAGUGAGAGGGAAGGGUACUGACUAGUGACAGGGAAGGGUACUAACUAGUGGCAGGGAAGGGUGCUAACUAGUGACAGGGAAGGGUACUAACUAGUGACAGGGAAGGGUACUAAUUAGUGUCAAGGAAGAGUACUAACUAGUGACAGGGAAGGGUACUGACUAGUGACAGGGAAGGGUACUGACUAGUGACAGGGAAGGGUACUAACUAGUGACAGGGAAGGGUACUGACUAGUGACAGGGAAGGGUGCUAACUAGUGACAGGGAAGGGUACUAACUAGUGGCAGGGAAGAGUACUAACUAGUGACAGAGAAGGGUACUAACUAGUGAGAGGGAAGGGUACUAACUAGUGAGAGGGAAGGGUACUAACUAGUGACAGGGAAGGGUGCUAACUAGUGACAGGGAAGGGUACUGACUAGUGACAGGGAAGGGUGCUAACUAGUGAGAGGGAAAGGUACUAACUAGUGACAGGGAAGGGUACUGACUAGUGACAGGGAAGGGUACUAACUAGUGACAGGGAAGGGUACUGACUAGUGACAGGGAAGGGUACUAACUAGUGACAGGGAAGGGUACUGACUAGUGACAGGGAAGGGUGCUAACUAGUGACAGGGAAGGGUACUAACUAGUGGCAGGGAAGAGUACUAACUAGUGACAGGGAAGGGUACUAACUAGUGAGAGGGAAGGGUACUAACUAGUGACAGAGAAGGGUACUAACUAGUGUCAGGGAAGGGUACUAACUAGUGACAGGGAAGGGUACUAACUAGUGGCAGGGAAGGGUACUAACUAGUGAGAGGGAAGGGUGCUAACUAGUGACAGGGCAGAGUACUAACUAGUGACAGGGAAGAGUACUAACUAGUGAGAGGGAAGGGUACUAACUAGUGGCAGGGAAGGGUACCAAACC
ensembl:lncRNA